ACAAUUUCAUAUUAAUUUAUUUUUAUUACCACAGUUAUAUUAACAAAAGUAUGUGUACAAAUUUAUUUAUGCCCACAAUGUGGUGUAAGGAAAAACACUUAUUCGGAGCACAUUUUCCAAUUUCAAGUCUGGAUUCUCUACAUCCUUUAAUCACAAUGUCAUAUAUGUUAAUAGAAUAGCAGUGUGUCAUAUGAAUCUCAAUUUUUUGAACAAGAAAAUGAAUUUGGGGAUUUGAAUGAACAAAGUGAAGAUAUUGCUGAAAAUUAUGACAAGCACCAAGAGUUAACCACCAAAA